GCCAGUUUGGUGUAGAGGUUUAAGUGCUGGAUGAGGACUCCAGAGACCAGGGUUUGAAUCCCAUUUGGCC